rnacentral:rRNA from 1 species
UCUUCGGGUGUCAGCAGUAGGGAAUUUUGCGCCAUGGGCGAAAGCCUGACGCAGCAACGCCGCGUGAUCGAGACGCCCUUCGGGGUGUAACGAUCUGUCAGUGGGGACGCAACUUGACGGUACCCACAGAGGAAGCCCCGGCUAACUCCGUGCCAGCAGCCGCGGUAAGACGGGGGGUGCAACCGUUGUCCGGAAUCAUUGGGCUUAAAGAGUUCGUAGGCGGCACGUAAAGACUGGUGUUAAAGGCAGAGGCUCAACUUCGUUACGGCACUGGAUAAUUGCGAGCUAGAAUGCGGUAGAGGUAAAGGGAAUUCCUGGUGUAGCGGUGAAAUGCUUAGAUAUCAGGAGGAACAUCGGUGGCGGAAGCGCUUUACUGGGCCGUAAUUGACGCUGAGGAACGAAAGCCAGGGUAGCAAAUGGGAUUAGAUACCCCUGUAGUC